UACGUAGGGUGCGAGCGUUGUCCGGAAUUAUUGGGCGUAAAGAGCUCGUAGGCGGUUUGUCACGUCGGCUGUGAAACCCGGGGCUCAACCCCAAGCCUGCUUCCGAUACGGGCGGACUAGAGGUAGGCAGGGGAGAACGGAAUUCCUGGUGUAGCGGUGAAAUGCGCAGAUAGUCAGGAGGAACACCGGUGGCGAAGGCGGUUCUCUGGGCCUUACCUGACGCUGAGGAGCGAAAGCGUGGGGAGCAAACAGG
rnacentral:rRNA from 1 species